rnacentral:lncRNA from 1 species
AUGCACUUAGCUGAAUAAAAUUAUCUUCUUUUGAAAUUAAUAUGUAAAUAUUUAUUUAUUUUAUAAUGCUUUCUUUUAUUGCUUCCUCAGUUUUGCAGUGCAGGGAUAGAACCAGCUCCUUGCUCAUGCUGGGGAAGUGCUCUACCACUGAGCUCUAUCCCCACUCUGAUUUUGCAAAUAUUUUAAAUGGAGGUUUAAAAAAAUAUAACAAAAUUAACUUAAAUAGUUGUUUUAAUAUUUGAGAUAAGCCUUUCCCUAAGCCAUUUAAUAACUGACCAAGGUACCAAAUCCAAGGCUAGACCCUGAAACUCUAAACGCUAUGGACAAACUCCGAGGGCCCUGACAAACACCAGCCCUCAUCCCACCUGUGUGUCUUUUGUGUGAAAGUGGGACUUACUGCACUGCCAAGGUGACCUUCUGAUUGGGGGCUACAGAAGAAGGGCACGUGGCAAUUUCUACCAUAUGGCAUAUGCAUCAUUGUGGCUAACAUCUGAGAUAAAUCAGACCCUUAGCCAGAUGGCUAGAACUCAGGAGACAGACCCAGGUGGCCAGGAGAGGGACCGGCCUUGGCAGGUAAGACCCAGCGAGCUGUUUGGGUUACUAUAGCUCUGUAGCAUGUUUUCAAGUCAGGUGUGGGGAAACCUCCAGAUUUGUUCUUUUCUCAGAAUUUCUUUGGCUUUGGGACAUAUUUUGUGGUUCCAUAUGCAUUUUAUGUUUUUUGUUUCUUUGUUUACUUUUGUGAAGAAGUCCAUUGGAUGUUUUAUAGUGAUUGAAUUUGUAGAUCACUUUGGGUAAAAAAGGAAUAUUUUAAUAUUUACUCUUCUAAUCUAUGAAUGAAGAAUGUCUUUCCCUUGUUUGGUAUCAUCUUCAAUAGCUUAUAUCAGAGUUUGAUAAUUUUCAUUGUAGGUAUAUUUUAUCUCCUUGAUUAAAUUUAUCCUUAGGUCUUUUGCUUUUUGGAAAUUAUUAUAAAUGAGAUUUCUAUCUUGAUUUCUUUUUUGGCUGGUGCAUUAUUGGUAUCUGGAAAUGCUACUAAUUUUUGUAUGUUGAUCUUGUAGCCUGCAACUUUACUGAAUCUGUUUAUCAUUCUAAUGGGGUGUUGGUUUUGGCAGAGUAUUUAUGUUUUCCUACAUAUAAGAUUGUGUUAUCUACAAACAGGAAUAAUUUGAGUUCUUCCUUUCCAACUUGGAUGCUCUUUAUUUCUCUCUAUUGCCUAGUUGCUCUGGCUAGGACUUCUAGAACUAUGUUGAAUAAAAGUGGUAAAAGUGUAAUUCUUUAUCUUGCUCCAUAUUUUAGAGAAAAUGCUUUCAACUUUACCCCAUUUCAUAUGAGGUUAUCUGUGUGUUUGUCAUGUAUAGCCUUCAUGAUGAUGUACAUGUUCUUUCUAUACCUAAUAUUUUAAGAGUGUUUAUCAAAAAGGGAUAUUGAAAAAUAUGAAUGAUCUACAUCUGGUAAUUAUAAGUUUUGUACUUUUGCACUUUUUUUUCAUGUGGGUUCCUUCAUUCACUCAUCCGUCAUUCAAUCAAACAGAUAUUUAUCUAAUAC